GCCGGAAUAGCUCAGUUGGUAGAGCAGG
rnacentral:tRNA from 1 species